AGUUCACAGUCCGCUCUCAAGUAUGGGAUGCUGAUAGGGGACUUCAUGUUGGCUGUCAAUAUCCUCCUCUCUGGAAACAACUAUGCGAAAGUGGCAUUACUGUUCAAAUUUAUGAACAUGGGGAUGGUGGGAAGGUCCACAUUUUUCAAAAUACAGGACACCUACUGUGUGGACACCAUAAAACAGUUCUGGGAAGAAAAGCGAGGAUUAGUUAUUUCCCAGCUAAAGCCCAAAGCCAGUGUCGUGGCCCUGGGAGAUGGUCGGAUGGACAGCCCUGGAUUCUGUGCACAGUACUGCACAUAUAGUGUGAUGGAGAAUGACUCUAAAGACAUCAUCUCCAUGGUGACAGUGGACAAACGUGAAACGGCGCGGAACAGUGUCAUCAUGGAGAAGGAAGCCUUCAUCCGGACUUUUGACACACUUCCCAAGGGCAUAUAUAAGUCAUGGGGAGUUCGCCAUACCCUUGACAUGUGGCACGGAUCGAAAAACCUUGGAAAGAAGAUCCACCAGGCGAGCCAGCAGAAGGGGUGCUCCAUUUUACUCAUUUGGAGCAAGGAUGUGUGUAACCACUUUUGGUUUUGUGCCAAAAUGUCGGCAACCUAUGACGACUUCUUUAUACCGGAAGCUGUACAACAAGAAGUCGCGGAAGUGGAGCCUGUACACAAUGAAGGUCGACAAGGACUAUGGCUACAUUCCUGACCUCCAGAGGGCCAUCCUCCGAAGCCGCACCACAGCAGACAGAGGCAUGCCGCGUGUGAGACGCCAGAGGCCUGAUGACCCGCGGCAGUAUGGUUUGCUAUGUGGUAUUCCACCUCCAACCACAGAGGAGCUACUGCACACACAAGUCAGUCGACGACAAGGCCAAGGACUACCUAAGUGAGCAGCCGCCCAUAGGAGAAGAUGUGACCCCUGCGACACCUCACCUGAGUCGACCCCACCUACACCCCUACUAUGGCCACCACUCAAAAAUACUGACCAGGGGUCAGACAUGUUCUAUAGGCCUAGCCCCACUGAAAGAUGGUGUACUUAUUUUUUAAUUUACCUUUUUCUAAACUUUUUUUUUGGUGUGUUAUGAAUGUUUGGGAUUGUCAUCUAUAUUUUUUAAUGUAAUAAAAGUGUUACCCAAGUGA